ACAUGGCUGUCUGAAUUUCUUGGUAUAGGGAGUCGGGCCUGCCCGGUGCCUAACGGUAAACGGCCGCAGCUGAAACUGUGAUAAUGUAGCGCGAUAAAUUGUCCUUUAAUUGGGGAAGAGUACGAAUGGUUUGACGCGAUCAAGACUGUGUCGGGAAUAAGGCGUGAAAUUUCCUUCUUGGUGAAAAGGCCAAGAUUUUCCUAAUAGACGAGAAGACCCCGUCGAGCUUGGUUAGGUGGCUAAGUUUAGAUUGACCUUGUAGGGCGGCGACUAGCAACAUGUGGUUAUAGUGGGCUGCGGUUGUAUAGGCUGAUUACUAUCCUGUUGUGUGCGUUAGGCGUUAAGCUUGGCGUGUGUUCUGAUGUGUUUUAUAUAGUGUCGGGGUCUAGUAAAUAGGGUGUCCAUCACUAUGGUUAGUGGGGCAGGAUGGUUUUAGUCUUUUCUGGCUGUUGAUGUUUUGCUGGGGCAGCACGGAGUUAGAGAGAACACUUUGGGUCACGGUAUGUGGAUCCUGUUUGACAGAAAAACAGCAAAAGUUACCGCGGGGAUAACAGCGUAAUUCUUCCUGAUAGACCGUAUUGAUGGAAGAGUUUGCGACCUCGAUGUUGAAUCAGGGUUUCUACAUGCUGCAGGGGGUAUGUAAGUGGGUCUGUUCGCCCUUUAAAGCCCUACGUGAUCU
rnacentral:rRNA from 1 species